AAGUUUCGUAUCCUGGCUCAGGAUGAACGCUGGCGGCGUGCCUAACACAUGCAAGUCGAACGGGGCGCGCCGAUGGAAACUUUUCGGAGCGGAAAUGGCGCUGCCUAGUGGCGGACGGGUGAGUAACGCGUGAGCAACCUGCCCUGCACUGGGGGACAACAGCUGGAAACGGCUGCUAAUACCGCAUAGGCGCACAGCCCCGCAUGGGGCGGUGUGGAAAGUAAUAUGGUGCAGGAUGGGCUCGCGUCUGAUUAGCUUGUUGGCGGGGUAACGGCCCACCAAGGCGACGAUCAGUAGCCGGCCUGAGAGGGUGGACGGCCACAUUGGGACUGAGACACGGCCCAGACUCCUACGGGAGGCAGCAGUGGGGGAUAUUGCACAAUGGGGGGAACCCUGAUGCAGCGACGCCGCGUGGGCGAUGGAGUACUUCGGUAUGUAAAGCCCUAUCAGCAGGGAAGAAAAUGACGGUACCUGACUAAGAAGCCCCGACUAAAUACGUG
rnacentral:rRNA from 1 species